ACGGGUGAGUAACACGUAGGCAACCUGCCCUCAAGCUUGGGACAACUACCGGAAACGGUAGCUAAUACCGAAUACUUGUUUCCUUCGCCUGAAGGAAACUGGAAAGACGGAGCAAUCUGUCACUUGAGGAUGGGCCUGCGGCGCAUUAGCUAGUUGGUGAGGUAACGGCUCACCAAGGCGACGAUGCGUAGCCGACCUGAGAGGGUGAUCGGCCACACUGGGACUGAGACACGGCCCAGACUCCUACGGGAGGCAGCAGUAGGGAAUCUUCCGCAAUGGGCGAAAGCCUGACGGAGCAAUGCCGCGUGAGUGAUGAAGGUUUUCGGAUCGUAAAGCUCUGUUGCCAGGGAAGAACGCUUAGGAGAGUAACUGCUCCUGAGGUGACGGUACCUGAGAAGAAAGCCCCGGCUAACUACGUGCCAGCAGGCGCGGUAAUACGUAGGGGGCAAGCGUUGUCCGGAAUUAUUGGGCGUAAAGCGCGCGCAGGCGGUCAUUUAAGUCUGGUGUUUAAUCCCGGGGCUCAACCCCGGAUCGCACUGGAAACUGGGUGACUUGAGUGCAGAAGAGGAGAGUGGAA
rnacentral:rRNA from 1 species